ensembl:misc_RNA Y_RNA Y RNA
GGCAGGUCUGAAGGUAAUGAGUUAUCUCACUGGAUUGUUCACAGUCAGUUACAGAUUGAACUCCUUGUUCUACUACUUUCCCCCCUUCUCACUACUACACUUGACUAGUCAAAA